UACGUAUGGGGCGAGCGUUGUCCGGAAUUAUUGGGCGUAAAGGGUACGUAGGCGGAUAAGCAAGUUAGAAGUGAAAUCCUAUAGCUCAACUAUAGUAAGCUUUUAAAACUGCUCAUCUUGAGGUAUGGAAGGGAAAGUGGAAUUCCUAGUGUAGCGGUGAAAUGCGCAGAUAUUAGGAGGAAUACCGGUGGCGAAGGCGACUUUCUGGCCAUAAACUGACGCUGAUGCACGAAGGUGUGGGUAUCAAACAGG
rnacentral:rRNA from 1 species